UGUGAGUAGAAAAAUUUUGGAUGUGAUGUGAUGUAAUGGAAAGUUGGGAGUUUGGGAGAAGUUUGGUGUGAACUAAACAUGGCCUAUAUAUUGUUGUUGGAUUACUUUUUAAGCUCAUAUUUAGUUCCAAAACUUUUUCUUCCAACUUCCAACUUUUUCAUCACAUUAAAAUUUUCCUACACAUACAAAU
rnacentral:misc_RNA from 1 species